AAGUGUGUGAAAUAACUUUUAAACUAAUAAAUUAAAAAGUAAAUGCAGUGUUGGAACUGUCCAUAACAUCCUAAUAUUAAAGGUUUUACCUAACUGAAAAAAAUUCUGAUGUGUUUCUUUGUACCACAGAUUUAUUGUGUUCAAGUUUGUGGAAGCCUCUUUCUUAAAAAAGAGUUACAUCUAAUUUGGUUUAUCUUUGAUUUACCUCUCCUUUGAUUCUGAUACAAGUUAUAAAGUAUUUUUGGUUGAGAUGAAUUUAUCAAUAUCUCUAUCACUGAAUCGAAUAGGUCUAUGUCUAUCAAGCUGAAAGUAUGGAUAAAUCAUUGCAUUUGUGGAAUAAAGUGUUUUUUUUUUUUUUUAUUUCAAUAAAAUACAAAUGUCUUUAAUCUGAAAUUUGGAUAGUAUUCCAUCCAAUAAAAAAUUGAUACAGUAUCAAAAGUUACAUUGAUAAGCUAGUAUAAACUACUACGAUCUAGGAAGAAUCAAUCUACAUGUUAUGACGUCAUUAAUUAGUUGUGGGGCCUGAAGUAAUAGUAGGUAUAGGUUCAGCCUAAGUAAAUCAAAUACAAUAAGAUCAAAAUAAUAGGAAAUGAAAAAAAUAUGCUAACCUUGUGCUAUUCCUCUCCCAAAUUUAGAUAAGGUUACACAUAGUCCGAAAUAGGUUGAGUCUUGUUCACUUCACAAAAUUUUCAGUCCGUAAUUAUUUUCACAAUGUAGAUUUUUAAAUUUAGAUGCUUCAAUACAUUAAUUCACAUGAUCAGAUAUCUUUUAGAAUAAGUAGAACAAUAAAACAUCAAUAUGAUUGAUUGAUUCUAUGCCUUUAUUAGGGCGGAGUUAGGACUCCAGGUCCCCUUGGCCACACAAUCCUUCAAUGGAGAGUGAAAUAAUGUUAAAAAAGAAAGGGUAACAAUAAUUCUGGUGAUUCUAUUAAAACAUCUAUAAAGUAGGUUUAAAGUUUCGAAACCCAUGUUGUAGAAAUACAUUAUUAAAUAGAAAAUAGAAUGACUUUUUACUUGAUGAUGACGUGGCGAAAUUCGGACAGUAAUGUCCACUUAACCACCUAAUCAAACAAACUGAUAAACAAACAACUUUUCUGUUGCUUCAAAACUUUGGUCCGCCAUUUUGAAUCCAGCUUCAUUUUUCAAAUGGGUCAUACCAUAGAGAAACGUUAGCAUAGAUAUCCCAUGGUAUAGGGCGUUUAUGUCGCAAGUUUUACUGUUAUCUCAAGCCGAUAGUUCACAUAGUUCUUUCCUAUGCAGCUGUGUGACGCUGGUAGUCUCUUGAAUUGUGCCGUUAAUCACACCGUUAAUCUCACCCCAACAAAACAGUAAAAAUUGACAAUAAUCGACAGUAAUCGGCUUGAGAUAACAGUAAAAGUUGCGACAUAAAUUCCCUAUACCAUGGGAUAUCUACUUACGCUAUUGUUUCUCUAUGGUCAUACUAUACCGAAUUCCAAGA